GGAGCAGUAGCGCAGUGGUUGUGCUAGUGUGUUGAUAGCAGUAGGUUUGGGGUUCGAUCCCCCAAGCCUCCC
rnacentral:tRNA from 1 species